UCCCCGUUGCCGAGGCAGUAUGACUAGAAAAUACAACUAGCCACGAGGGUUGCGCUCGUUAAAGGACUUAACCUAACAUCUCACGACACGAGCUGACGACGACCAUGCAUCACCUGUCACUCGUCCAACUAAAUGACGUCCCGAUUUCUCGGGACUACGACAAGGAUGUCAAGUCUGGGUAAGGUUCUUCGCGUAGCCUCGAAUUAAACCACACGCUCCACCGCUUGUGCGGGUCCCCGUCAAUUCCUUUGAGUUUUAGUCUUGCGACCGUACUCCCCAGGCGGGAUACUUAACGCGUUAGCUUCGCUACUGAACGGGUCGAUACGUCCAACAGCUAGUAUCCAUCGUUUACGGCGUGGACUAC
rnacentral:misc_RNA from 1 species